rnacentral:rRNA from 1 species
AUUGAACGCUGGCGGCAUGCUUUACACAUGCAAGUCGAACGGCAGCGCGGGCUUCGGCCUGGCGGCGAGUGGCGAACGGGUGAGUAAUACAUCGGAACGUGCCCAGUAGUGGGGGAUAGCUCGGCGAAAGCCGGAUUAAUACCGCAUACGACCUGAGGGUGAAAGCGGGGGAUCUUCGGACCUCGCGCUAUUGGAGCGGCCGAUGGCAGAUUAGCUAGUUGGUGGGGUAAAGGCCUACCAAGGCGACAAUCUGUAGCUGGUCUGAGAGGACGACCAGCCACACUGGGACUGAGACACGGCCCAGACUCCUACGGGAGGCAGCAGUGGGGAAUUUUGGACAAUGGGCGAAAGCCUGAUCCAGCAAUGCCGCGUGUGUGAUGAAGGCCUUCGGGUUGUAAAGCACUUUUGGCGGGAACGAAAAGGACAGUGCCAAUACCACGGUUCGAUGACGGUACCCGCAGAAUAAGCACCGGCUAACUACGUG